rnacentral:lncRNA from 1 species
ACUAUGGAUUGGAGCUCCUUCAUGCUCUUGGCAUUCAAAUGAUGAAGGCGUCAAUGCCAAAUGCCAAACUUAUCUUGAUCUUGAGGAAAUUCAGCAAAUGCCGCCACUUCAACUCCAUUCACCUUCUUAUACUUGAUGAAGUAGAGGUUUCCAUCUCUAAAGCCCUUUGCAAUAUGAUCUCCUUUCAACGUCUUCACAAAACAUCUAU